CUGUACAUUGCUGGCAGCAGUGGUGGAGCAUAGAAAGUGCUCCCACCAAAUCCAAUAAACCACCUCUCUCUCUCUCUCUCUCUCUCUCUCUCUGUAUAUCAAUUUACCUAUCUGGGAUUUAUUUAUUUAUUCUAUCUGCAGAAAGAGCUCUCCAUCUUCUUAUUCUUCUCCUUAAGCAUUUUCCCAUUUUCCCAAAGCAACCAGAGGUUAGACAGAGUCUGACAAAUUAAAAGAGGUGCUCAGUGCUCUGAGUCAGUUGAAAAUUAAAUACCCAGAAAAAAGAGAUAGUUUAGUGAUGCCGCCAAAAAAUUCUUGAAUGGCUGAUGCCUGAUAGGGCAAUGAAGCCUUUUGGCAUUUCCGAAGGUCAGACAAAGGCAGCGGUCAAAGAACUUCUGAAAGUCUAUGCAAACAGCUGGGAGUUUAUUAUUGAUGAAAAUUAGACUUUUGCUGGACUUUGUUCUGGACCAGAAGCCAGAGGGGGAAAAGAAACUACUUGGAGAUGUCACUGAAAAAAGUAAAUGAACUCAGCUUGAAAGUGAUAGAGGGCUUCAUUACCAAUGCUGCUUCCAAAUUGUUUGAGCAAGAAAUACGUGAAGUGGUAGAAAUGAGAAAGAAUGACAUGCUUUGCUGCCAUGGCCCCCCAAGAGAAGAAUUUUCAAUAUCAAGAUGGAUGAGUGAUAUUCUUUCCUGUUCCUAAAUUUAUAAUAUGUUUGGUUCAAAUUAUGGUUUACCAACUUGGUGUAGAGUCGGUUGACUGUAGUUGUGUAGAUGUAGCUAGUAAUAUCAGCUAGAAUUUGUGAACCAUCAUGAUUAAACUAUUGUUCAAUUGCAUAGGUUAUAGAAUUUGUAUGGUUUUUUCUAAUUAGCUGACCCAAAUUAUGAUCUAGUAAUGUACGGUUUUGCAGUACAAUAUCAAAUAUUACUGUGUGGUGUGGUUGGAAUUGAGCACAUUGAGAGGCAGUUCUUGGUCAGUAUGUAACUCCUCUGUAAGUAAGGCCAGAUAUCCCUUACAGAUUUGGUCUCCUGGGCAAUUUUUCUUUUUUCUCUUUGUCCUGACUACUAGAAGACGAUCAUGUUCAUAACGCAAACAAAUAGGUCAAGAGGCUAACUUGUCCCCUUUCUUCCAUUCCUUGCUUCUAAGUCUCUCAUCAUCCUCCUGAAAUUAGAGCUAGUUGGCAUACAACGCUGUAUAGACUUCAAAAGGCUGCCUCAAAUAUCUUCCCUCACACCAUUCUAUUGUUGCUGAGUAGUGGAACACCAUGAAACUGCACCCAAAAGACUCCUUGAGUAAGAUCUAUAUGAUGUACAUCACACCUGGUCUAGAACGUACAUCACAACCAGGUCUUACUUUGGCCAAUAGCACCAACGCAUCCCAAAACGUCCACGGCUCCAAAAACGCACCAAAAACUGCUGUUCACCAAUUUCCUUCAUUUACAUGGCAUCCCCUCCUUUCCAUAGUUCUGAAAACAUUGCAAGAAACCCUUCAUGAUGGACCACCUUCUGUAAGUUGUGACUGUUUCUAUUUUGUGUGUGCAUGUUCUGGAAGUCAUAUAAGAAACACUAUUUGUUCCAAUUUCUAUUCAUGCUAGAGUUACUUUUCUCAUGUUGUCAAUUACUUCUUGUCUAUCUUUUGCUCAAGAAAUGGUUUUCAUUUUCUGUUUAGGUCAAGCUAUGAAUUUAUCCUGUAGUAUGGUGUAUUGAGAAAAAUGAAUGAAAAAACAACUUGCUGCCUCCCUUUCUUUCCUUUUAAUCUUUGUUUCAGGGAUAGGAAGUCAAAUUUUGUUUGGUAAUGAGAACUAACCCAUUACUUUGGAUAAUUGCGAAGUGUAAUAUUGUUUGCUGAUAAUUGCAAAGUGUAAUAUUGUUUGCUGAUAAUUGCAAGUAGGAAUAGGAUAGAAAGGGGAUGAUCCUGGAAUUUCUGCCUGCUGAAAUCAGUAUAGAUUUCUAGAGAUGAAGCUGACGUAUACUUUCAGCCGAAAUCAUACUAGCACACUAUUGUUUGCGACUCGUGCUCUAAUUCGGAUUUUUUAUUUUAUAUUUUAUUUGGUUUCAAUUUUUUAUUCUUUUACUUUGUAUGUCAAGGCCCAUGUUCUUCACUGCCAAAGUCAACAUAUGGUACCAAACUCGGUCAGCUUCAUUAUGUGGCUGAGAGUGCCAGAGCCAAAGUGUUCUGGGUUUAAUAUGGAAUAUUGGAGAUUUUAAAACAUUUCAUUUAUUCAUCAACUUGAGUCUACUGCUAUAAGGAAGAUAAAGAAAAACAUGAUGGCUUCCAGUGCCAAAGUUGUAUUUCUGAAGGAUCAGAAAAGAGGAACAUGAAAGUGAAGGAGGACAAAGGGUGGUCAUAUACAAGAUAAAGGGCAGGGGAGGCCAAAGAGGAGAUCUUUGUUUAUGAACCCAACUUAAUUAGCCAUUUGGAUUUCUCCGACUUGCCUGCCAGCAUUUGGAUUUGUUUCCUUCUAAUUCCUUUAGAAAAUCUAUGAUGGUGCAUCUUCUACUGACUUAAUCACAGGCAUGACAAUUCCAAUGCUUAGAAUAUCUUUAAUAACAUUUUUCAGUACUUAAACACCUACAGAAUUGAUUUUGCAGUUUAAAUGCACGUUCCUCAUUCAUUAGUGGUUUCGGUUAUGGUUAUGCAUUUCCUGCAUUACUGGUUUUGUUUAUGUCUUAUGUUGCUCUUAUGCUGUUGUGCUUGGUGAUGUUCUAAUUGGAUGCUUUUGGUUACCACUCUUGCCUCUCGCUGUAUCUCAAACCCAAUGUCCUAAUCAUCGAUCUUCUCCCCACACACACACACACAC